rnacentral:rRNA from 1 species
UACAGAGGUCUCAAGCGUUGUUCGGAUUCAUUGGGCGUAAAGGGUGUGUAGGUGGCGCCGUAAGUCGGGUGUGAAAUUUCGGAGCUUAACUCCGAAACUGCAUUUGAUACUGCGGUGCUUGAGGACUGGAGAGGAGACUGGAAUUUACGGUGUAGCAGUGAAAUGCGUAGAGAUCGUAAGGAAGACCAGUGGCGAAGGCGGGUCUCUGGACAGUUCCUGACACUGAGGCACGAAGGCCAGGGGAGCAAACGGG